UGUGCUUGACCAUAGAAUAUUGUUAUCCCUUUUAAUACAUGAUCUUAGAUGUUUUAUGAUGUUUAUGUAAACCAACUCAACACAUGUUAUGUCACCCAUUGGGGCAUUGAUGAGAUCCCAAAGAGGGGUCAAUGUUUAUGGUUAUGUUUAUGUAUAGUGCAUGCACAGGUUGAGUUUGGUAAAGGAAUGAAAGAAAAGUUCAAAAUUUUUAUGUAUGUUGUUGAUCAUGUAUGGGAUUAAACAGGUUCAC
rnacentral:lncRNA from 1 species